rnacentral:miRNA from 1 species
CAAAGAUACGCAUGGGCUGAGGG